AACUUCAACUACCAACAUUGGCAUAGUGGUUCAGCGCUAUGUCCUUUAAGCAAGAGGUCGGAGGUUUGAUCCCCACCUCUGGCGAAUAGAGCAAACUCUGUGGCCAGUUCCCUACCGCAAAAUGCACUAACCGAGGAACAAAGGAUUAGUCUCACGGCUGUCGACUGUGGGAUACCUUGGAAAACCAAAAUAUAUAUAUAUAUAUAUAUAUAUUACAAUUUUUUUACUCCGUAAAAGUCAAUAGCAUUAACAAAAAAAAAAAGAAAAACGAAAAACAACAGCAAAGCAGUGAAAUUUUAGGGCAUUUAGUUUGUGAUUCUACAACAUUGUUUUCAAAAGAUUCAAAGUAGACUUGAGGCAGAUCCUUUCGGUUGCAANNNNN
rnacentral:lncRNA from 1 species